UAGGGAAUAUUGCAAAAUGGGCGAAAGCCCGAUGCAGCAACGCCGCGUGGGCGAUGAAGGCCUUCGGGUCGUAAAGCCCUUUUUGAGGGGAUGAGGAAGGACAGUACCCUCAGGAAUAAGUCUCGGCUAACUACGUGCCAGCAGCCGCGGUAAAACGUAGGAGGCGAGCGUUAUCCGGAUUUACUGGGCGUAAAGCGCACGCAGGCGGCUCUGUUAGUCGGACGUGAAAGCUCUCGGCUUAACCGGGAGAGGCCGUUCGAUACUGCGGGGCUUGAGGUAGGGAGAGGAAUGCGGAAUUCCCGGUGUAGUGGUGGAAUGCGUAGAUGUCGGGAGGAACACCUGUGGCGAAAGCGGCAUUCUGGCCCUCACCUGACGCUGAGGUGCGAAAGCGUGGGUAGCAAACA
rnacentral:rRNA from 1 species